AACGCACGAGACCUGCGGACCUGCGGAAGGAUCAUUACCAAGAGAAAUCUUUCAACACUGAAAGAUCUUUUCCUUUGUGCUGGCUUUGACCGUAUGUAAUUUUGGGACUUUAAAAUGGUUCGCAAGGGCCGGUCCCAAAAACAAUAUAUCAUCCUUAUGAAAUUUUUUCUGAACAAUUAAACAAAUGAUUUUAAUAAUCUGUUUAAAACAACUUUUAACAACGGAUCUCUAGAUCGGAAG
rnacentral:misc_RNA from 1 species